rnacentral:pre_miRNA from 1 species
GACCGAAUGUACUGUGUCGUGCCCUUGUCAUUCUUCUUGCCUGUGUGUGUUGAUACAACUGGACGGAGAACUGAUAAGGGCAUGACCUUUACAAUGGCUCC